AUCUUUACUUGAAACAUCCGAGGAGAUCGAUUACGCUGUUCCAUAGGUAAUAGAAGUUAAUAUUUUUUUAGCUUUUACAUAAUCUUUUAUUAAAUUAGUUCGUAAACAAUGAUAUGUUUUCCAUUUUUUUUCAUUAAUUCAUGAACGGUUUUUUGGUGGUAUAAAAUACAAUUUAACUGUGUUAUAUUUCUCUUUCCCUCCUAUUUUUCAAAAAUCUAUCACGAAAGUCAUUUAGAUAGGUUCUUAAUUUAAAUUCAAUAUUAUUAGUGAAAAAAAUAUCUUAUAUAUCUCUCAUUUAAAAUCCAUCUAGUUUAUCAUUUACAUUUAGUUUUAAUAUAAAUAAAUUAGAGUGAUAGUUAUUUGAAAAGCAAUACUAUAAAAUAAUAUUUAAACUAAUCUACAAUAAGCUAGAAACAUGUUAUCUUAUAUAUCUCAUUAAAAAUCCAUCUAAUUUAUCAUCUAAUUUAGUUUUACUGGAAAUAAACGAGAGUGAUACUUAUUUGAAAAGUAAUGCUAAAAAACGUUAUUUAAACUAAUCUACAAUAAACUAGGAAUAUGAUUUCUUGCCAGAAUGAGGGUUCGAUUCUAUCUAACCAAAUACUUUAUUGUCAAUAAAAUAGGUAUCUAUUUUUAAAAAAGAAUAAAAAUAAUUAAAAUUUCAAAAAAUAGCAUUAAACAUAAAUUUUUAACAAAAAAUAAAUAUUAUAUAAUUAAAUAAUAAUUUAAAUAAUAUCUCAAGCUUUUAAAAUAAAAUAAGAAGUAAAUAUAACACCUUACUGUUUAACUUUCAUUUAAAAAUUUGCAAUCUAAUAAUGAUUAGCUAAAAACUCUCAUGUCUAUCUCCACUUAAAAAUAAAGAAAAGUGAAGAAAUCGAAAAGAGAGAAAUUAAAAAAUAAAACAUUAAAGCUAUUUUACGAUAAAUUAUCUAUUAGAAAUCUAAUAUGGAAUUCCUACCAAAUUAAACGUCCCAAUCAAUAUAAUUAGAUGUACUUUAAUCUAGAAAAUAGGUGUCCAUAUUCAAAAAAAGGAAAGAAAAAAAGAACAAAAAGUGCUUGGAAUCUAAGAAAUAAAAUUUAAUACGAAAAACUAACUGUAGAAUUCAAAAGGAAAUAGACUUGUACCCUAUGUUUUUAAGGUUUUAUUUCUUAAUAGACCUAAUAUUUUAAAAUAUAUCUUAGUUUUAUUUCUCAAAAGGCCCAAUGUUUCAAAACAUAUAUUGAGCUACGGACAUAUUAGGUAUCAUAUCUUCUAACCCCCUAACCAAUUUUCCUCAUUUUGACCCUAUUUUUUUUAGCCUAAACAACUCUUAAGCAGACACGCUAUUUCUAAACCUCAUACUCUCUCUCCAUGAUAUUCCCUAGCUUCUCUUUCCCCAUGGCUCUCCACAUAUCUCUCUCGACUUCCAUCAGUCGAAUAAGGCCAUCAACCACUCUCUCCCCAUGAUAUUCCCCAACUUCUCUCUCCCCAUGAUUCUCCCCAAAUCCCUCUCUAACUUCCAUUCCAUUAAUCGAAUAAGGCCAUCAACUACUCUCUUAAGUGCUUUCGCCCCAUGAUUCUCCCCAAAUCCCUCUCUUGAUUUCCAUUAAUCAAAUAAGGCCAUCAAUUCGCAUGAGGCCAUCAUCAAUUCGCAUAAGGCCAUCAACCACUCUCCCUUGAGUGCUUCCGUAUUGACAAUACGAUCAUCAUCAAUGUUCAUACGAGAUUCAUAAGUGUUGAUAAUCAAACAUCAAAAUCUUCCUUCAUCAUAGCAAAUCCAAUACUCUUCAUUCUGAGGAUGCAAAUUUCAACCUCUGACAAUGCUCAAUAGGAUCCCAUACACUUCAACCUGAUCAAUGGGAUCUCAUAUACCUCUUUAUUUUGAGGAUACUCAAUAGGAUACCCAUAAAAUGAUCAAUAGAAUCCAUAGACUUCAAAACUUCAAAGGAAUUCAAAACUUCAAAGGUUGAUGUUACAAGAUUCUUGCACAAUCCAGUAUAUUCAAUUACAUUUAUUUUCUUUAUAGGUUUGUAAUUGUAGAAGAUGGGAGAAGUUGGGCAUGGGUAAACAAUACAGUUGUACUCGUAGAAGAUGGGAAAGGGAUUAAGAGAAUUACAGAGAUAUAGAAUUGGAGAAGUUGAGCAUGCGUAGACAAUAGAGUUAUACUUGAAGAAGAUGGGGGAGAAGUUGGGCAUGCGUAUUAUGCAAUCAACAAAGGUAGAAUU
rnacentral:lncRNA from 1 species